ACGCACUCUGCAGUCCAGGUACCAGAAAGCAGGCCAAGGCCUGAAGUCCAGACACCAGAGGAAGCUGAUGAGGUUCCCAUGGAAAUACAACAGAUCCACCAAGUCUUCCCCCUUUGUGACAUCAUUGAUACUACCCAGGUAAGGCUAUUAUAAAUGUCAGCUAUUGGUUUAGCCUAAAUGCUAUUUAUAAUUUAAUGUGUUAACAAAUUGUCUGAUUGUGUUACAUGUUGCAUUACCUGUGUGUGUGUGUGUGUGUGUGUGUGUGUGUGUGUGUGUUGUGUGAUUUUAUUCAGAGAGGAAAUACAACAGAUUCACCAAUCAUCCCUCAUCCAACCAUAGAGGAGGGCCUCUCAGACGAGGGGAGGGACUGAUAUUGGACACGCCUCUCAGGUGGAAUCAGGUUCUGAAGUGUCAGAGGGCUCAGAGCAACAGACAACCUCACAGACCAGGAGGAGCCCAUUCCCUAAGGUCAAACCCAACCUGGACGGGCUGCCAGGACCACACAACCCAAACAGACGACCACCACACUGUCAGAACCACCACAGACUCCACCACACUCUCAGAACCACAGCCCAUUCAGAGAACCAGAGUAGCGCAUUCAAAACCACAGCCUGCAUUGAUACCACCACACAGUCAGAACCACCCCAGCCCACACUAAAUUCCCCCACAAACACACUCUCAAAACAACAAUCCACACAGAGUACCACCAUACUCUCACAACCACAGCCCACCUCAAGCCUUGAGCAGCCAAGGUCCAGUUACACUCAGACCCAUAGUCCCAGAGUCACCUCUGAGGUCAUCAGGAGAGGUGGAAGGUCACGAUGGCUCAAAGGAAAAUAGUUCAUCUUUCCCUCAGUGCUGGAGGGUCCCAGUCAGGGACAUCAGACUCAGACCAGCCCAAACAGACAGGCCCCCCAACCAGGAGGGCCCGUUUACCUAAACCCAAACCCAACUUGGGUCUCACCGCCAAAGCCGCUACGCGCUCUGCAGUCCAAUUACCAGAAAGCAGGCCAAGCCCUGAAGUCCAGACACCAGAGGAAGCUGAUGAGGUUCCCAUGGAAAUACAACAGAUCCACCAAGUCUCCCCCCUUUGUGACAUCAUCGAUACGACCCAGGAGGAAAUGGAACAGAUUCACCAAGUCAUCCCUCUUACUGAUGUCAUUGAUUCUACCCAGGGCGAUAUCUCUCUCUUUACGGAGGGAAGCUUUUUCUCGCAACAAAGUGAUGCUGUCUUCAUACAGCACUCAGAAACGUCUGUGUCGACUGCUCCGUUGGACCAGGCCCAGUCAGACCCGGAUGAGCCUAUAUUCAUCCUCUCCCUGACUGAAAUCCCAGUGCUCCCCGCAGGGGAGGAGAAUGGCUGCACAUCCCAGACCCUCUCUGAGCCUUUCUUUUUUCUACCAGACGCAGGCGCUCAACUGCAGCAGAGCAGUGAUAUUGUUGCCCCCGGAGGUAGUUUGGAGAAAGGGAAUGCUGGUGUCCUCUGUGAAGUCCCUGAGCCUAUGUCAGUGGAUGAGGUCCUUCCUCAACCCUCAUACACCAGUAUCAAGGAAGUGGAGUCUGGCUCCACGGCGGGUCCAGUAGGUGUGUGUGCCUCGGCCAAACCCUCAGAAGACUCCAUGGCUGAUGCAGAGACUAGUGAGGACACGCAUCCUCCUUCUAAGAAGAGGAAAGCGCCAGAGAGAGCCAGGAGAGACAAACUGCAGGUGAGACCUAACACUGCAGUAAGGGAACAGACCAGUUGUUCGGCCCCUGCCAAGGAGGCUGUGUCACCCAUUACCCCAGACCAGACACCCUCUUUGACCACUACCACCCUAGACACUUACCACCUCCCUGCCUCCAGUCCCCUGGCCCAGCCAGGCCCCUCCGUCACGGGAACUGCAUCACAGCAGGGGACUGUGGGCUGUUUCGAUCAUACAGAGACCGAGCACACGCCGACUGGAGGGGAGGACAAUAGUUCAGGGGCGGAGUCUCAGGCUGCCCGUCAAAUUACACCGCUGGCUAUGAGUGGCCCCUUGAGCAGGCCUGGUAGGAGACCCAGAGGAUUCCUGUCUUUCAUGUCCAAUAAGAACGCCUCCCCUGUAGCUGCCCCCCCCCGAGGUACCAGAGCAGCCGCUCGGAGGCCCCAGGUCAACACCACCCGCCCAGGGGGGAAACGGGCUGCUCCUGCACCUUCCACCACAACCAGAACCAUGCCUUCACCUCCCAUAAUGCAUUACACCACCACCCCCACUAGGGCCACCAGAACCACCACUAAGCCAGAUUUUUCCGCCAGGGUGACUCAGGAAAAACCCUCUGAUGCCCUGGCCUUACACUCAGACCCAGAGCCCAGUACUUCCCUGUGUACUACAGCUACUGAGUCCUCUCAGGUGCCAGCCGCCCAGUCCAGUGCGUCUCCCUGUGUGGACAGCGGUUCAGCAGACGAGGAACCCAUCAACGUGUCCCAGUACUUCUUCAGUGACAUCUUCACCGAGGUCGAGGAGAAUGAGGGAUGAGAGACGGAGGAAGGGAAAGGAGAUCAAAAAGGCACUCUCUCUCUCUUUGUUUGAAUCAAACUGGAGAACAAAAUGUUAAACACUUAAGAAAACAUGUUUUUGUAUCUACCACUGAGAUUACGUUUCUGCUUGCUUAUGUUUAUGCGAACAAGGUUUCAUGCUUGCAGCGAACAGAUUUGGUCACAAGAUGGCAACAGUGAAACCAAACUAGGGAUAAUUCCUCUUCAAAUUUUGGGGGGGACCAAACUGGCGCGCCUUUAAGCUACUUUCCUAUAUUGAAUGAUUACGUUUUUUUGGCUAUUUUACCCCAAUCAUAUCAUCUAGCCUAUUGAGUAAUCUAUUCAAUCUAAUAACAUAUUUAUAUUUAUUUGGUUUGUAUUUUUUCAAACCACACCAAGCCAGACAUUCAUGAUCAUUUCCCUCUAUCUGCAAGAAGGAGAAUACUUGAAAUCAGUGUCAACUCACUCUACUACAGGGACUUUCACAUUCAAAUUUGUGUUCUUAUUUGAAAUAUUGUUUACAUAGGUAGCCAUUGUCUAAACAUGAGCAUUGUGUGUAUAUAUGUUUAUUAUAAUUUAGAUCUGAUAUAUUGGAGGGGUAUGUAUCCUUAACAUUUACUUUGGUUUUUCACUCUUCAUGCUUGAACAAGACCCAGCUUUGCAGCUUGAGGGACAGCACAGCAAUGUCUCUUUAUUUCAUGCUCCCUGAAGAUACAGGAAAUAUAAUUUCAAAUGGCGCUGGAACAGAAUCCUCUAGUUUAAUCCAUGUACAGUGACAAACUCACAGAAACAGUGCACAGAUCAUGAGUUCAAUUCCAGUUCUGAAUGAUUGAUUAUGUUCUGCAGCCACUGUUGGUUCAAACUAACAUAGCUGUUCUGUAGCUUAUGUCAAAUAUGUGAAUAAAGUUUUAUACGGUAAUGUCUACUUUAUGUUUCAUGUGUUGCGAUAACAGAU
ensembl:lncRNA